rnacentral:tRNA from 1 species
GGGCCCGUAGCCUAGCCUGGAUAGGGUGCCGGCCUCCGGAGCCGGUGGUCCCGGGUUCAAAUCCCGGCGGGCCCGCCA